AGAGUCACCGCAGUGGCUGAGCUGCUGACAGGAGGCGGCGGCGGAGGAGGAGGCGAGGCAAGACCUGCGGCUCCGCGGGGCUACUGCCGCGGUAGCUCUAGGCAACCCCACGGAGCUACGCCGGUCUCAGUCAUCCCGCGAGCCUCUCGCCGCCUAUCCAUCCUUCCAUCCGCCUAUCCGCCCGACCGGUCCAGGGCGGCCUAGUCUGCAUAAUCUGCCGGGCUUCUGGGGCCGCCGCCCCGCGCGGUCCCAUCGGCGUCCCUGGCCGCGCCCGGCCCCUGGCCCGCUCGCCCGCCGGCACCAUGAUGGAGGAGAUCGACCGGUUCCAGGUGCCCACCGCGCACUCGGAGAUGCAGCCGCUGGAUCCAGCCGCAGCCUCUAUCUCAGACCGAGACUGUGACGCCCGGGAGGGGUGGGUCCCAUGUCCACUGACUGCUGUGAGAUCGCCUGACCCCCGCAGCUGCCCAGAGCUCCAGUGACUCCAGAGAAGCAACGGGAGCUGGCCCGGAAGGGUUCCCUGAAGAACGGCAGCAUGGGCAGCCCUGUCAACCAGCAACCCAAGAAGAACAACGUCAUGGCCCGGACGAGGCUGGUCGUCCCUAAUAAAGGCUACUCCUCGCUGGACCAGAGCCCUGAUGAGAAGCCACUGGUAGCUCUUGACACAGACAGCGACGAUGACUUUGACAUGUCCAGAUACUCUUCCUCUGGCUACUCCUCUGCCGAGCAGAUCAACCAAGAUUUGAACAUCCAGCUGCUGAAAGAUGGCUACCGGUUAGACGAGAUCCCCGACGACGAGGACCUAGAUCUCAUCCCCCCCAAGUCUGUGAACCCCACCUGCAUGUGUUGUCAGGCCACUUCCUCCACCGCCUGCCACAUUCAGUAGUGGGCGGGGUCGCCGCGGUGCACGGGGCGCUGACCUGGGCCCGGUGGGAUGCAGCAGGAGAGACCCCUACCCUGCUGGUCCACUGGUCCCCAGCCCCGCGCCUCUUAGAGCCGCCAACCUCGUAACAGUCAUUGCUUCCUCCUAUGGUAGGACGUGUACCUCUGUGUGUUCAAGGAGCCGGAGAAACCAAAACCGGGUCUGUCUCCAGCCCCGGGGCUGAGGAGGGGUGGGCACUGUUUGUUCGGUUACUUGGGGGGAACCACACCCAAGCACCCUGCCACCUCUCCUAUAGCUGCAGUCAGGGGGGCAGCACUGAAGGCCAGGAGGCCAAAUGUAAGCGUUGGGUGAAGGGAUCACAGGGCCGGAAGGUUGGCCCCAGCCAGUGAAGCCAUGAAUCCCCCCCAAGCCCGGCUUGGAAAGGAAGGAAAGGGGUUUUGAGAAGAAAAGGAUCCAAGCAAUGGGGGCAGUUCUCACACCUCAGAGCCCCUCUCCCCAAACCCUGUGCCAGCCCAUAUACCUAUUUGUGUUUUCCCCUCAUCUCCAGAUGGGAAGCCUGGCAGCGCUGUCCAAAGGGAUACUGUCUCUCCAUUAGAUAACUCCUUCCACUGUCUCCCUCCCCCGCUUUCUUACUUUCUGAGGGUUGGGAAGGUAAGAUGGGCCUUAGAGAGAAGCCAGGUUUGGGGAUGGUAUGACCUGUUCUCACCGGUCUCUAACCAGUGCAUCUGUCUCUCUGCCUCAUCCCCACACCGCCCUGCCACCCCCAGUCUUCUGUCUAUUGGUUCCAGGCUGGAAGCAAGAGAUAAGGCUGGCCUCCUGUGCCCCAUUGCCAUUUCACCCUAGCUCAAAGUCCAGGAGCCAGGCUUCCAGAAAGGCUCUUCAAGAGCAAGCUUAAGGAAAUACAGUGAGCCAAGUGGCUGUAUGAUAUGGUAUGGUAUGGUAUGGUAUGGUAUGGUAUGGUAUGCACAUGUGUGUGCAUGUGUGUGUGCCUGUGUGUGUGCGUGUGCGUGUGUGUAUGUGUGUGCGUGUGUGUGUGUGUGUGUUGUACCCGAGUGUGUGUUGAGCCUAUCUGUCCAGGGAACCAGAUUGGUGUCCGAGAUGAGGAAAUGGCUGUGGCCUGGGAAAUCAGUGAGAGGCCGCUUGGGAAUGAGAAUGCAGUGGACUGAAAGCACAGCCUGGCCAUCUGGAACCUGGGUUCUGGUCCCAGCCUCGGCAUUCUCCCUGAGCUCCUAAGCAAUUCCCAGGCUUCUCUAGGGCUUCAGUUCUCACAACUGGAAAAUAAAGAGUAGCUGACAUCACCGACAGAGUCUUUUCAUACCAGAAGGAAUUUCUUCACAGGAGUUUCUGCAAAAGACUAUGACAUCUGUGUGUCUGUGGUCUCACGAGGUACCUGGAGGUGUAUGUGCACGGACAUGGGAAGUACGUGAAGAUUUAUUUCGGGAAAAGUGGUGUGUGUGUAGCUGUACUGGGUGUCAUGUAUGCUGUUGCUUCUGCUGCUGGUCUGGUCUGAGGGAGGAAAGCUGAGGCUGUAGCUCAGUGAGAUGGUGGCUCUCCCAUGGCUGAAGACAAGUGCAAGCAGAGAGAGCCUCAGGCUGCUGGGCCUCGGACCCACGAGCCUCCUCUCACUGAGCCAGUGCGGCCAGAGUGUCUCUCCUUCAGGCGCCCCACAUGCCAGCAUUUCCACCCUCUGGAUUCUCCUCACAUGUCACUCUCCAGGUGCCGGGGCCUAGAGUGGGCGUGUGAGAAGGAGGAGUGGGGCUGUUGGCUUAGGAAGGGAAGCGCCUCUCUGUACACCACAACCAGGAGCUGCCCACUCCCCACACCUCCAGCCCAGCUUACCUCCCCCUAGUACAGAGAUCCUAAUUAGAUAAGAAAAUGCCAAGGGAGGCAAGCCAGAGAAAGCAUCUGCAGGGGCCACAGGCCCAUGGUGGCCCCAUCUGAGCCCCCUCUCCCACCCCAGUUCGCAUCCCCACCACUCAUCAUCUGGGCCCCAACGCUAGAACUCCCCCCACCGCAUCCCCACUGGGCUCUUUGACUCACCCUUCUAGAACAUGGGUGCCUCCUCUCUUUAGACUGCUGCCUUUGCCUCUGACUUCCUGUGGGAUUGAGAGCCAAGGGCCAGUGCCCUUGUGAGCGCACUAGUUCCGAAGCAGGCAAGGGCAUUAGGUGGUAUAUACAUAGCGGGUAGGGGUAGGAAGCUGGCAGCCUGCAGCUUCCAAGUCCAAGGAGAGCACACAGUUCCCUCCUUCCCUGCCUGGAAGUUGAAGGGGAAGAGCCAGGGCCUCAGCUUGACACCCCCCACCCCGCUUCCCCCCUCCCCCCCACUCCCCCACCCCUUGUAGAUACUGCCUUAACACUCCCCCACCCUUGGCUGCGGCUGCUACCCAGCCAGGUUUCUUCGAGCUCACUAAUUUAUUUCCAAGAAGGUGUGUGGAAGACAUGAGCCGUGUAUAAUAUUUUUUUUUUAACAUUUCCAUCGCAGUAUUGACCAUCAGCCUUGGUUGUGUAUCGUGUAACACAAAAUAAUGAUAUUAAAAGCAUCAAACAAGCCA